rnacentral:lncRNA from 1 species
ACCCAGCUGGCACACGACCGACCUUCAACGUUAAAAUAUGGUUGAAAUAAGGUCAGAUGUGUUUUGAACGUUGAAAUAAUGUUGAUAGAACGUUUAAUGUUGAACGGUUGAAAAACAGCCUGCAUAUGACAAGGCUUCAACGUUGAAAUGUGGUUGAAAAUACGUCAGUAGUUGCUUUAAUGUUGAAACAAUGUUGAAUGAUAAAUGGUUGAAAAAAGUUACAGAAAUCCUUGUACAAAUCAACGUUGACAUUUUUUUUUAUCAUGAUCUGUAUGUUGAAUUAACGUCAUGGCUUCACCCAAUAUUCAACAUGUUUGGUUACCAUGGUAUCAGAGGACUCGGCGCACGCGGCCGCGCGCAGCGCUUCACUUCACUUAAUUACGAACACCUGACCUGCAGUGCAGCAGAAUUCAGAGAGAUGUAACUUACUCCAGAGACGCACUAACUUGCACAGCAUUGAAUGGAAAAGGCUUUGUCCAUGUCCAGUUGAGGGGCAUCAAGAACACGCAGAUGGCCUAAACCUGUGUCAGCCUGGACAGACUGCAGUUCUGCUAUUCCACGCCAAGGCUUUUGUAUGGAUGUCUGACUACUGCUGUGUUCUCUAAACUAGGUUAUCUGUAAGCUCCAUUUGAGGUCAUCAAGGACAUACUGAUGGCCUAAACCAGUGUCAGCCUAGACAGACAGACAGACAUCUAUUGCAGUUCUGCUACACAAGACCAAACUCUCUGCUUUUGUAUGGAUGUCUGACUAGUACGGUGUUCUCUAAAGGUAUAACUGGAGCAAAACAACAGCAUCCGUUACAGUGAAAUUUGUGUUCAUAAAAGAUAUGUGUAACAGGUCCAGUACAUUUGUCAUAAAGGUUAAAUCACAGCAAGUACUGUAAAAAUAACUUGUUUGCCUUUGCCACAACAGGUCAUGGUGUGUGCAUACUGCUCGUAGUAAACAUGCUGAUCUGAUGCGGGAGAGAUAUACGCAAACACAUUUGUAUUUACUGUUUUGUUUUGCCUCACUAAAGUGUUGUUGGAGCUUGGUAUGUUCACAGUUGAAAUCACUGAAGUCACAUGGAAUGUUUUGACAAUGUGUUUUGUGCCUUAUCUGGACAAUGACCAUCUUGGGACUAUUGCUGUCUGUAGAGGAUGAGGAGCAUUUAAUCUAAAAUAUUUUAGUUUGUGUUCUGAAGAUUAACAGGUCUCUGGGAUGACACAAGUAAUUAAUAACAGAACCUAUAUGAACACUUAAUGUGACAUGUAAUAGUGAAAUAGUGGUCCUACAUUCACAAAUGUGAGCCAUUAUUAUAAGACCCCUAUGAACAUGCAAUUUUUAUGAUACUAAUAAUAAUAAUGGAAUAACAAAUUGCUUUUAGUGUUGUGUUUGUGAGAGAGAAUCAAACCAUAUAUUCUACACAUUUUCUUGAUGAUUUACUGAAAUAUUUGUCUACAUGUUCCACUGUCACAGGUGCUCAGUUUUGCUGAAGUAAUGCUAAACACAAUAAUACUUUAUG